rnacentral:lncRNA from 1 species
UUCAUUUGUCUCCUCCUGAUACCUCACGCCAACUAUCUCCCUCUAAAAAUCAAUAUUGUUUAUUGAUUUUAUAAUAAUAAUAAUAAUAAAGUCUUGCCAUGUUUUAAGUGUUUUAACCCUUGACCGCUGAUACCCUGUCCGACUGACGUAGGGCCCCGUAACGUAUGUCAAGGCUCUGCCUAAAUUCGUUGGGGUUCUGUCUCGUGACGUAGGGAUAAAGUAGAAUUGGGUUACAAUACUUAAUGUGGGUGUACUAUAUAUUUUAUUAAAUAAUCCAGGAGCUGUACCCAAAAUAUAACAACCCUCCCGAAUAUUUUUCUGACACCCUACACUUCCUGAAAUACAUCCCAUACGUGAAAACCGAGUCUGAGUUAUAAUAUAGUAUUAAAAAUAAAUGGAAAACAAGAAGAAGUAAGUUGAGGCGGGCCGCGUAGACCCACCCCAAACUUAACACGGGCCGUGUGAGGGUGUAACUGGACUCCGCUGAAUUCUUAAGUCCAGGCGGGCAUCGUAAGAUCACACCGUUAGUUUACGCGGGCCGCGAGUGUCCCAAUUGGUGGCGCAGCCCGGUGAUGACACGUGUCAUCAUCGUGGCGAGGCUAGAUCAUGACCAGGACAAGCUAUACGUUGACCUGGAGUCAACGCGGGCCGCAUAAGCCUUGCCUGUUCUUUACGCGGGCCGCGUGGGAACCAGUUUCAGCAACUAUAUAAAGAACGCAUCGGAUUUCAAUUCAGUUCGCUCACAUCUUUCUUUCUAAACGAAUUUCUGAAGUAGUAGAGAGUAUAGUUGGGUAUUAUACCCCUAAUUAGCAAAGCUCUGCCUCGUUGUAAGUAUCAUAACCCCUGGAUACGUAUUAGGUACUCUGCCCGAUUGAUCUAGGGUUCCGUAACGGCUGUCGUGGUUCUGCCCGACGUAGUCGUUGGAAUGCCGUCUCGGGGAGGGUAUUACUAAUGUUAAAAUGGGUUAUUAUACUAACGCGUGUGCAUUGUUUAUUUAAUUAGACUAUAACCAGGGAAUCACAGAGGAAAGCCCUAUAAUAGCAAUGUGAGUAAUCUCCUUUUUGUAAACUGUUUUUACAAAACCUUAAAUACCUUUUCAUGCGAAUGACAGUUAUUGAGUAUUUGUAAAGGAUACAAUUAUAGUGGGUAUGUUGGGGUUUUGUAUACAAAAUUGGUUACUGGCGUGGUAACAUCCCAUAAGUUGAGUAUGACCGUACCACUGAUGUUAAUUGUGAUGUCUUGGAUACAAAUGUAAUUGCGGAUGUGCCCUCAAUACUGCAAAUUGGUUUUUAUUUAAACUUGAUUAAACUGGGAUUCACUCACCAGUAUUUCCUGCUGAUAAAAUGUUUUAAACACGUGUUUCAGGUAACUUAGUGUGAAGCCAAUAAAAGCCAGCUGGAGAGCACUGAAGGCUUGGAAAAGUGGCUAUAAAGUUACCUAAAAUAAAAUAGUUGUUUUUAUUAAUAAAAAUAGGAUUUAUUCCUAUGAAAGUGUGUAUACUGAAAACUUGGGUUUUACCCAUGUGUUUAAUAUUAUGAAAAUAUGGUGGUUUUACUCUGAUAAAAAUAUUUCCUAACUACGGUCCUGAUGAAAAAUUCCGCUGCCAAAUUAGACAAUACACGAUACCACCGAAACUGGCUCACGGCCGCCCGUUCCUGAGGGGUCGGGGGUUGUGACACAAGGUGGUAUCAGAGCUAUGCCACUGGCUCAAGCCAAAGAAGUAUGA